GGGAAGUUCUACAGGUGUUGGCCGUGGAGAUCGUUUUGGCGGAUCAGAUCGUUAUGGUGAUCGUUAUGGGGACCGUCUUGGUGGAUCAGAUCGCUAUGGAGAUAGACCAGGUGGAACAAGCCGCUAUGGAGAUCGUUAUGUUGAUGACCGUUAUGAUGGCGGUCGUUAUGGGGAUCGAGAUCGUCUUGAUACUAGGGACAGUAUGUACAGCAGUGGUCGUGAUCGUUACGGCAAUGACAGGUAUCCUGCAGGUGGAGAUCGCUUUGCUGGUGAUAGGUAUGGUGGUGCUUCCGAUCGUUAUGCUCAGAAUGGGUUCUCAAAGG
rnacentral:lncRNA from 1 species